CCCAAACUGUCUUCUGGGCCGUCC
rnacentral:piRNA from 1 species